rnacentral:rRNA from 1 species
UUCCAGACUCCUACGGGAGGCAGCAGUGGGGGAUAUUGCACAAUGGGGGGAACCCUGAUGCAGCGACGCCGCGUGGGUGAAGGAGUAUUUCGGUAUGUAAAGCCCUAUCGGCAGGGAAGAAGCAAGACGGUACCUGACUAAGAAGCCCCGGCUAACUACGUGCCAGCAGCCGCGGGAAUACGUAGGGGGCGAGCGUUAUCCGGAUUCACUGGGUGUAAAGGGAGCGUAGACGGCCAUGCAAGCCAGGGGUGAAAGCCCGGGGCCCAACCCCGGGACUGCAUUGGGAACUGGCGCGCUGGAGUGCCGGAGGGGUAGGCGGAAUUCCUAGUGUAGCGGUGAAAUGCGUAGAUAUUAGGAGGAACACCAGUGGCGAAGGCGGCCUACUGGACGGUGACUGACGCUGAGGCUCGAAAGCGUGGGGAGCAAACAGGAUUAGAUACCCCAGUA